CGCGUAGGCGGCCUGAUAAGUCUGGAGUGAAAGUCCUGCCUUCAAGGUGGGAAUUGCUUUGGAAACUGACAGGCUUGAGUGCAGGAGAGGUUAUCGGAAUUCCCGGUGUAGCGGUGAAAUGCGUAGAGAUCGGGAGGAACACCAGUGGCGAAGGCGGGUAACUGGACUGCAACUGACGCUGAGGCGCGAAAGUGUGGGGAGCAAACA
rnacentral:rRNA from 1 species